rnacentral:rRNA from 1 species
AUUGAACGCUGGCGGCAGGCCUAACACAUGCAAGUCGAGCGGAUGAAGGGAGCUUGCUCCUGGAUUCAGCGGCGGACGGGUGAGUAAUGCCUAGGAAUCUGCCUGGUAGUGGGGGAUAACGUCCGGAAACGGGCGCUAAUACCGCAUACGUCCUGAGGGAGAAAGUGGGGGAUCUUCGGACCUCACGCUAUCAGAUGAGCCUAGGUCGGAUUAGCUAGUUGGUGGGGUAAAGGCCUACCAAGGCGACGAUCCGUAACUGGUCUGAGAGGAUGAUCAGUCACACUGGAACUGAGACACGGUCCAGACUCCUACGGGAGGCAGCAGUGGGGAAUAUUGGACAAUGGGCGAAAGCCUGAUCCAGCCAUGCCGCGUGUGUGAAGAAGGUCUUCGGAUUGUAAAUCACUUUAAGUUGGGAGGAAGGGCAGUAAGUUAAUACCUUGCUGUUUUGACGUUACCAACAGAAUAAGCACCGGCUAACUUCGUG